rnacentral:rRNA from 1 species
AGGCUGAAAAGCGUAGUCGAUGGCAAACAGGUUAAUAUUCCUGUACUAAGCUUCAAUUUAUACCGAGGGACGAAGAAAGCAAAAAUUAGCCAAAAAAUGGAUUGUUGGUGGAAGUGUUCAAAGUCGUGAAAAAUAGAAAAAAAACUAUUUUUAAACUAAGACAUGAUACGAUUUUAUUCCCUGAUUGUAUUGAAAGUGCUUCGCACUUUUAGUACUGAUUAAUAAUAAAAUUUAAUUUUUUGUUAAGCUUCCUAGAAAAGCUCGUAGUAUUUAUAUUGUCAAAUUACCUGUACCUUAAACCGACACAGGUAGGUGGGUAGAGUAUACCUAGGGGCGCGAGAUAACUCUCU